GCCUUCGUUGUGUAGUAGUCAGCCCACUCGGCCCGUAUUCGAGAGGUCCGUGGUUCGAGUCCCGGCGAGGGCA
rfam:Stegodyphus mimosarum contig24830, whole genome shotgun sequence.